CCAAAUCACCUCCAAUCUUCCUCAAAUUUUGUAUAUUGACUUAUCUAUAUGUUUUCAAUAAAUUUCGACUAUACCCAUUAAAAAAAUUCCUCGUUUGUUUCAAUUUUGGAAUAUUGGCUAGAGGUUGGUAAGUUGAAACUUAUAUGUGAUAUUUCUGUAAGUUUUCCUUUUUUAUUUGUCCACGGUAUCUUGCACCAGUCAAGGCAGCUAUUGUUCAUAAAACUGAUGUCAGAACUCAGUAGCACCUGCUUAUUUGACAAUGUUCUAAUGGACGAUUGUUCGCUAGUACAAAUAAACAUAAUUAGUUCCACAGAAAUUCCAGUAAUCUCUCAUUUCGUCUCUCUUAGUUCCCUUGUAGAACAUCAGUUGAAUGAGCUAUUGUACAAUAAAGCUCCCUCAACCACACAAUAAAGCACCAGGAAAACUGCUCUCCAGACCACGAGCAGCAAUUACUGCAAAUCUCAGACAUAUCUUUUGCAUAGCACAGCUUGUUAAUCCGAUUAUAACUUCAGAUAUUUACUAAUCAUUCAGACAGUUCUUUUGCAUAGCACAACUUGUUAAUCCGAUUAUAACUUCAUAUAUUUACUAGAACCAAUAACUUGAAAAUUCAAGUGACAUGAAGAAUAUGUCCAAAAUAAGUCAAUUUAGGGCUGCUCCUGUUGAGAAAAAAAAAACAUAUCUUGGACAGAAAGUGCUUCCCAGUAUGAUUAUACCUUUCUCGCUUUAAUAGCUUUCUUUUCCAGCUCUGCUUUAGCUCUUAUCUGUCUUCGCCUUAAAAUUCCAUGGUACUGUUUUGCAUUCAUGUAGACCGGUUCCUCUUCCAUGUCAAGAGGCAACGGCAUUCGGGCAUGAUGAAUUUCAAAUAAGUGAGGGUGUACCUGACAACUGUAGACAGGUUCCUCUUCCAUGUCAAGAGGCAAAGCCAUUCGGGCAUGAUGAAUUUCAAAUAAGUGAGGAUGUACCUGACAACACGCCAAAUUUUUAUGUAACGUUUAGCUUACCUAUAUUUUGCCUUCAAAGCAAAAUAAAGCUGCAACUCAAGCAUAGAAUAAUACAGAGCUACAAGUGCAGAAGCUAAAGGCCAACGGCUAGUACCAUGUACAAAUGCCCACAACUCCAAGGAUCAAUGAGGGUGAGAACUAAGUGCAAUUUAUUACAAAUAUAGCGUCGGGUUACCAAUCAAACAAGUACUCUUGAAUAAACAUAACCAGUUAGCAACUAUAACACGGCACCACUCCAUCACUAACAUAUUACCGUCACAGCUAGAAAAAAAACCAGAAUAAAGCGCCAAUUUCUCGAGUCUAAGGGUUUCAAAAUAAGCAGAUCU
rnacentral:lncRNA from 1 species